AUGUGGCACUUAGGGACAUGAUUUAGUGGUGGACUCGGCAGUGUGAGGUUUACAGCUGGAAUCGAUGAUCUUAGAAGUCCUUUCCAACUUAAAUGAUUCUCUGAAUUUAUGUAAAAUACC